AGAGUGAACGCUAGCGGCGUGGUUAAGACAUGCAAGUCGAACGAUGAAGCCCAGCUUGCUGGGCGGAUUAGUGGCAUACGGGUGCGUAACACGUGAGCAACCUGCCUUGAAGUGGGGGAUAGCCCGGGGAAACCCGGAUUAAUACCGCAUGUGGUCCCUAUUCGCAUGAAUAGACGACUAAAGUUUGUAAUGACUCUUCAAGAGGGGCUCGCGGCCUAUCAGCUUGUUGGUGAGGUAAAGGCUCACCAAGGCUAAGACGGGUAGCUGGUCUGAGAGGAUGAUCAGCCACACUGGAACUGAGAUACGGUCCAGACACCUACGGGUGGCAGCAGUUUCGAAUCAUUCACAAUGGGGGAAACCCUGAUGGUGCAACGCCGCGUGGAGGAUGACGGCCUUCGGGUUGUAAACUCCUGUCACCAAGGAACAAACGGCAGGUUCAUAGCCUGUCCUGAGUUAACUUGGAGAGGAAGAGGUGGCUAACUCCGUGCCAGCAGCCGCGGUAAUACGGAGACCUCGAGCGUUACUCGGAUUCACUGGGCGUAAAGAGUAUGUAGGCUGUUCGGUAUGUCAGGUGUGAAAGCCCGGGGCUCAACCCCGGAAUUGCGCCUGAAACUACCGGACUCGAGGCCUGGAGAGGAGAGUGGAAUUCCUGGUGUAGCGGUGAAAUGCGUAGAUAUCAGGAGGAACACCAAUGGCGAAGGCAGCUCUCUGGACCGGUUCUGACGCUGAGAUACGAAAGCGUGGGUAGCGAAAGGGAUUAGAUACCCCUGUAGUCCACGCCGUAAACUUUGUACACUACGUUUCGGAGG
rnacentral:rRNA from 1 species